AAUCUCAAAAUAAAGGGAAAUGGGCCAUGAAAUAGGCCAUGACUUGAAGGGAAGAAACCUGUAGGGAUGAUAUGUAUGCCACGGAGCAUUUAUUCCUUCCAUACUUCAGGGGAUAUUUUUUCUUGCUCGAACACUAAGAUGGCCAGUCUUUCUCUUACCGCAAAAUGCCUGACAGCUUGGAUUUCAAAGCUUUUCUUUAAAGCUCAGAGCUUCUCUCAAUAAAAUCUAUAUUCCUCCAUGCCUAGGCAAUAAAGGACCACAAAAAUCUAGUUGGUAUUUGGAAACCAUCAUUUCUCUUUCCUUUAUACUAACUGAAUUAACUUUUGCCAAAAGACAAAUGAUCUGACUGGAUCACUCAGUUCCUUAUUCUUUGAUUUAAUUAGGGAUUAGAUGGUAAUAGACUGGAAAUAAAUUCUCUUUUCAUUGACCUAAAUUAACUUUGCUUUUGAAAUAUGGCAUAGCCUCAACAAUUAUCUGAAAGGAAAUAUAUAUAUAUAUAUAAUAACCCAUCACAUGCAGAAAACUAUACCGAUCCAACCAUUUAAACAUGUCUCAUUAACACCAUUUGUAAUAAAUCCCCCUUAGCCUUUGAGUAAUGUAAGCCAUUUCUGUCUGUAAGAGAUAGAAGUAAGGAAAGGUGGUGGAAGGAAUUCUCUUCCCAGAAAGUGUUUUUGUGUAGGAAUCUAUUUUUGUAGCAAGAUCGUUUUUUGGCCAAGUAUCGUUCCCUGUAUGACAGACCUACUCCCCCCCACACCCCGUGUGCCUCUGUCCCCAGCAAUACAGCAUGUACACAGUGAUGGGAUUUCUCUCUCUAAAACACGCUUUUGGCCCACUCAUCUUUCCUCCACCUCUGACAUUUGUGUAGAAAGUCAGGGUUUGCCAAAGCCUUUCACAUAAAAGAUGUUAUGAGAUCUUUAUAAAAACUCUUGAUAGAAUUUUACCAAUGGAGAAACUAAAUUCAGAGAGAUUAAUUUACUUGUCCAGAUUCCUGCUAGUAAGGAGUGAUUAUCAGAUGAACACUUCAGUUUUCUAACCUGCGAUUCAGUGUUUCAUCUAUCAAUAACCCCGAUAAUACCAUAUGUUUGUCCUGUUGAGUUUUAAGAUAUUUCUCACAUCCAUAUGCACUUCCCCACUUUCACACACUGCCUCUCGAUAAUGAUGCAUGUGCUGUUGUGUACCAUAAUUUCAAAUUCAUUCUAAUGAAAACCAUUAUUGGAGGACGGCACAGAGGACACUGCCUAGAACAAGCCAGCAUGUAGACAUUCAACCAUUAAAGCUCUCUGGGCAGGACAUACUUCAUUCUCCGUAACUGUCUAAUAUCCUAGAGAGCUUCAUGUGCCUGAUCUUGUCUCCAUGCAAGGCCUUGUUCUCCCAGGACUUGGCUCCUUUUUUUCAGUUCUGACACUGAAUGUCCGAAUUUCCUCAUUCUUUGUGGAAUUACAACUUCUCCUUGGCUUCAAGAACUUUUCGACCCUCCAAAGGAACCUGCCUCCUUCCUCAGCAUCCACUGGCCAGUUCGGGUUUUCAUUUGUUGCUCCUUGCAUUCUGAAGAAGGUGUUCAGCUCUUGGGAUCACCUGUCCCUCCAGAGCUUCCUGUGAAGCACUGGGACAGACAGAUCAACCACCACCCACAACCACCAUCCCAACCUCAGUACAGGGCUGCAAGGAAAGGCAAGCAAAUCUCAUGAUAGUGCAUCCCCAAAAGACAUCGAGUGCCCUCAGAGAGGUCUCUGGUGACAGCAGAGUCUAGGGUGAAGCUGAAAACCUCCUCAAAGAAACCCUUAAAACCCCACAAAAAUCACAAAGAUGACAGCAGAGGCCACCAGCAUGAAAAGGAACUUGAUGGAACCACCUGAGCCAAGGUCCCAUGGCACCAGGAUCCCUUUCACUGGUCUGUCAGUAGUCACUUGAAGGGAUUUCUAGCUCUCUGUCCCUCUUUCCUGUCCCCAGGAGAAGAGGCAGCACCACAGGGCCAAGCUAGGCCCUCCCACUCCUUUCCAAGCAGCCAGACCACAGUGCUGACCUGUACUGGGAGCAGGAGGAAACUAGCUUGAAACUGACAUCCAUGAACAGGGCCAGAAGCUGUGGCACAAGAGCCAGAAGAGUCAGAGUGAUGGAAAUGGGUGUGGUGCCUGCAGCCAUUUCUCUUCCAACUCAUAGCAGCAGGCCUGGACUGAAGCCCAAGUGAAGGUGCCAGGCUUUGACUUGAGCCUGGGCACAGCAAAGAAAUUUCAGAAGCAAUCCUCAUGGAGCGACCUGCACUUUGGCAUCUUUUUUGGCUAGUGGCACUCUUCACGUACAGGGGCAGUAUAGAAGAUAGGUCCCGGCCCAGCCUGCCAGGGUUUCAUCCUGGCUGGCUGUGUGUUUGUGGGCAAGAUGCCUUACCUCUCUGAGCCUCAAGUUCCUCAUCAUAAAAAGAAGACUCUAUUAGUAUCUAACUCAAAGGAUUUUUGUGAGAAUUAGUAGUUCAAAAUGUUUGGAACCAUGCCCAGCCCAAAAUAGUUGGAGUGGUACCAACUAUUAUCAUUAUUAUUAUCUGUUACCCAGAGUAAUUUCAUAACCAAAAAAAUAUGAUAAUAUCUAGGAUAGGUUUAGUUAAUGAUGAACUAUCAUUUCUUACACAGACUGAACUAUCAUUUUCCUAUAUACUAUUAAAUACAUAGUUUGACCUGACCUAUCACCAGCUAAAUUAGUAAUAACUUUAGUUCAAGUUCGAAAGAGUUUUUGAAAUAUUUCAGAUUCUACAGGAUAGAAAAUAAUGCAGUAUUUGUAUAAUCUGGUGUCUUAUAAAAAAAAAAGAAAUGUCUAUUACUUUAAAGUUUAAGAAAGUGAACAGAACUGAAUCAAAAGCACCACUUUUCCCUAUUUCACCAUUCUCCAUACAACAACCAGAACAAUCUUCUACAACAGAAGUUAGAUUUUAUCAUCACCCUGCGUGAAAGCCCUCAAGGGGCUUCUUCCCAUCACACAGUAUGACCUGCAAGACUUUACCAUAUCUUGCCCCAGACCCCAAUCCGGACUUCUCACCUUCCCCUUCUGCCUCCCAACCAUGCUGACUUUAUUUCUCAAACCUGUCCAGGUCUUUCCCUCCUCUGACUAUUAAGCCUGCUAUUCCGUUUACCUGAACACUUUUCUCUGCAGCCUACCCCUGCACUGCAUUUAGGACUCUACUCAAAUGCCACCUCCUUAGGAGACCUCCAGGAUCACUCUUUCUAAAACAGUUCCCCUAUUUCCCCCAUCACUGCACUCCCUCAUCUGACUUUAUAGCAUUUACCAAGAAUGCAAUUUAUUUUAUUUUUGCCCCACUGAAAUAUAAACUCUUGUGGAGUAGAACUGGGUGUGUCUUAUCCACUGCUAAAUCUCCAGUGUCCAGAAAAAUACCUGGCACAUAGAAGGGAACACAGAAACCUUUACUGAGUGAAGGAAGGAAGAACUGACGAGGAACUCACUUUCUCCCAAGACAGAAUGUUCAUUCCAUCCCUCAACCGAAAACUCCCUGCCUCAUUUUUCAUGCAUUGGAUCCUGCUGCCCCUAGUUUUGCAGCAAAAUGUAACAUACACACCCUCAUUUAACAUGAUAACUAUUUGUUAAAUAAAUGCAUGGAUGGAUGGAUGGAUGGAUGGAUGGAUGGAUGGAUAGAUGGAUGGAUGGAUAGGUUUUGAUCUAAAUCUACGAUAUAUCAGAGUCUUUACACCACUUAGUCUGCUUUAAGUAAAUAAGUACCCAAAAAACAACUACAAUUCUUUCCAUCCUUUUACUCCUCAUCUGUCAUUGCUUAUGUCACUAUUUUUUAAUAAAAAGACAUAAGCUUCAGGUAAUCACUGAAUGGCUUGAGGCCUCCCAUGAAUGCCAGGCUUCAGGAAAACAUACCUGAGUAUUUUCCAGGUUUAGAAAACUGUUACCAUGAUACCCUUCCCCCACAAGACUGUAGUCUAUUUUUCUUUAACCAAAUGAGCGUUCUAAUUCAUCCCGCACCUUCUGCAUAGUAUCCAGGCACUGUCCUCACAUCAACCCCCUUGUUCUCACCAUAUACGAGCUUCUACCCUCCCCUCACUAGCACUCUCCCAUGUGUCCCGCACAGCCCCACCCUUGGGUCCUGUCUCUGCCUCACCUGUCAUUUUUUGUCACACUGCAUCAGAAGUGACAAGUCCUCAUCUCCUCCCCCAGGUUGCACCCACCUCAGAGGCUGCAUCAGCAAUGUUGCAAGUGAUCAGAACCCUUGUCCCAAUGCCAUCCAUCAAAAGCUCAUUGGCACAUCCCUGCUCUGUGGAAUGAUUUGCACUCGUUUUGGUUUUACAAGAAAACUAACCAUAUAGAGUAUUCGAGCAAACUAUACAAAAGAAGCUGUUAUUGACCACAUUGUUUGGACAAGGAGGCUGAGAAGCAAAGAAAUUGAACAGCUAAAUAAGCAAGGCCACUCAUCUGGUGUAAGUGUUGCAGGAUAGAUUCAAAACCAGGACUCUCGCUCUGCCACCCAUGCUUUCUCUUUCAAAAUAAGCUGCCUGCUUCCCAAAAGUAGCCUGUCCUACAACAUGCAAAACCAUACAAUGUAAUGAUCAAAGAUACGUUUUAAUGAAGAAGUAGAUGUACACAGAUGGCUGGGAUGAGUUAGUUGCUAAAAUUGAGUAUUAAUUUAACUGUGACUUUCUGCAAGCCACUGAGAACAAAAAUCAUCAGCCCUGGCUUGGCCUGAGCCAGCUCCCAACAGUUACCCGGAAAGCCAACUCUCUGCAUUAGGCAAAUUCAGUUUUUAGAUACCUAAGAAUAAAUGUACAAUGCCCUGUGUCCUGAUAUAGCAAGAAGGAUGUAUUUGCCUUAAGCACAUGUAUCUGUGUAAAGUUGCCAGAACUAACAUACACAUAGAAUAUAGGGAUGAUUUGCAAAAAUUGGCCUUCAUCACAGGAUGCCUCCCUCCUGCAGUGCGUGCCAAGGGUGCUAGAAAGGAGACAGAAAGUGGUCACAGCAGAAGGACACCAAGGGAAAAGGAUGGACAUUUGCUGAUUCUUACCCACUCACCAGCUCUGUGCAACAAGCACUACCAGUCACCAUUUAACAGUGGACACAGCCAAAGACAAGUAAAAACUAGAGGGGUACAAAUGGAGCCGAGAUCUGUUCCCCCCACUUCAAGAGUGAAAAGAUGGGCCUUCGGUCCCAGUUCCACUCCUUGCUAGUUGUGUGACCUGGGACAAGUCACAAAAGCUCUCAUGACACCUGAGUCAUCCGUCAUCCAUCAUCUGACAAAAGGACUCACUGGGUUGGUGGGAGAGUAAAAUGAAAUAAUGGGUAGGAAACCUCUUUGAAAAGGGAUAAGGCACUUCAUAUAUUUUAGCCUCACUGUUCCUUAUUCAUUUUUCACAGUUUAGCUCAAAAUCAUUACUUUAGGGAAGCCCUCCCCCACAAACCUUCUUGAAAAGGCUGGAUUCCCAUAGUAUACCUUCUCCUUUGUAUGCCUUAUGGGAGUCACAACUUUACAUUUGUGCGUUCAUUGGAUGGUCUCCCUGCCUCUCCAUUCAGUAGCUCCGCAAAGGUAAAAAUAAAAGCCACCUGGUUUUGCUCAACGUUAUUAGAACUCCAGGGCUUAGCACCCCGCCCAGCACUUGGCAGACAUGAAAUAAAUAUUUAUGGAUUAAAUGCAUCAAUAUAUAAGUAUUAAAAGUAUGUAUUAAUAUAAUCAUAAAGUAUCCAAUUACAAUUUUUAAAACUUAGAAUUGCACAAAGAAAAACUAGCAUCCUAUUUAUUACCUAGAAUCCACACUUCUAGUCAUCCUAACCAUCUAGAACUUAAAGGCAAGAAAAAGAAAAAAAAUUUUACCAUGUGGAAAAUGACUGUCAUAAAGUCCACAUAUUUAACUCCUGAAAAGAAGUGGAUCCACCCUCAAGCCAUCAUUCUGACAACUGGGUGUAAAGUAAGGCAGGGGAUGACAGCAGCUGGGACACCUGACAGCUGGCGAAGUGACAGCCAACAGCGACAGGAGGAGGCAGAGUGUGAAAGUGCAGGCUGGCUUUCCAGCACAGCAGUCUAAGGUACUUCAUGUGAAGGCCGCCUGCCCACACACCGCCGGCAGCCCCCCAGAGACACCCUGCCACCACAGAGUGCCAUGGCUGAUGUUCAAGGAAGGCCACGGAGUUUGAAUAAAGGGAAAUAAUGUCUGUGACACUCAGGGUAUAAACAAAGGGAUAUAGAGAUCCCAGCAAUGUCUGUGUCUCCUGUGGUGCAAAUGAAAACUAUUUCAGCUGUAAAUAAACUUCCCUAAAAUGGAAAAUAUCUGUGUCAUCCCAUGGCUGCUUUGCACAACUGAGGUAUUGAGCACGGCAAAUUCUAAACCACGGGCUGUACCUUCAUUAACAUAACGUAAUAAGUAAGUUAUAUGUCUUGAAAUGAAGAACGUGCUUGGAGAGGGUGAGGAAGGGGUGUCCCUCCCUUGGUAAGUGACAUCCUCCAAAAGCUUCAUGUAUAAGAAACUGCAGAGCUGAGCAUUUUGAACUAAAAUGCAAAAGAGACAAAGAGCCUUUGUGAAGAUAUACCCCACUCUUUCCUCCUUCCCCACUCCAAAAUACGUAGAAUUGUGGAGGGGAUUUGUUCAUUCACUCAGCAAACAUUUACUGAGCACUAUCCUGCCCCAGCCAUUGGAAAAAUAAGAAUAUAAAAAGAAUGAAAUGACUCAGGAACGCUUUUUUGUUGUUGUUUUACUUUGAAACAUUUUGCUAUUGUAGGCACUCAUAUGCCUUCAUAUGAUAUGAAACUGAUCACUUUUCUAAGAGAAGUGACCCAGAAGGGUCAUUUUAGGUCCAUUGUGGUCUUUUUCUCCCUUCCUCCCUGGGCCACAGAAAAGUGAUAGCAAAUGUUGUAAGCUAUUGUAGGAGCCAGAGAAGUUCAAGGGCUAGAAGAAUGUCUCUGAGCCAUAGUGGUCUUUGAGCACUUUUACGGCCCAUUUGUCAGAAGCAUUGAGAAGUGUCCCUUAGCUUUGUCCUUUAAAUUGUGUAAUUCCAUCAAUUCCUGCUAGCACCCUAGAAAAUUUAUAUUACCUUUACUUUAUUGCCUAACUUUAAAUGAUUUUCAAGGAGGAGGAGUAUUUUUGAACUCCGCUUCUUUCAUGUCUAUUUUUUUUUUUUUUUGGUGUCGCAGGCUUCAAAUGAGGAUAAAACUAAGUUUAGAAAGUUAGUAGGACAGAGUAAGGGCUCUAGAGUUCCAACUGCCUGGGUUUGAAUUCUGUCUCUAUCUCUUACUAGCUCUGAGGCUCUGGAAAAGUUACUUAACCCAUGAUAACUCACUUUCUUUACCUAUAAAUAGCAGUGCCAAUCCCUACCUCACAAAGUUAUGAUGAAGAUUAAAUGAGAUAAAACUUGUAAAACACUUGGAUACCUAGCAUACUGUAUACAAUAAACCAAAACUGUCAUCACAGGUUCAUAAAUUUAAAUUUCCUUCCCAAAAGCAGAAGGAAAAAGAUCUUGGAUUAUUUGAAAACAUUUAGAAAAAUGCAUGAAUACUGGGAACAAUGAGAUUAAGAACAAAUUUGGCAAGUAACUCUCAUUUCAUUGUAUGAAAGAGCUCAUGAACAUCAUUAACCAUAAUACUCUUCAGCCAAAGCAGAAUACUUUUGCGUGUACACCAAAACAUAACCACAUAAACUGGGGACACUCCUGCACAAACCAGUCCAGAUGGUCACCUGCCUAUACCAAGGCAAUGAGCUUGGGUGUCUAAAUUGACUCCUGUCUAGUUAAACAAUCAUACCCCAAAGGAGACGAUGUGUAAUCCUCUGGUGCUCUGUCCUCCUACCUAUCUCUUUAGCAUUUUUAUCAAUGACCUGGGUAAAGAUAUAGACAGCAUAUUAAUCAAGUUUACAGAUAGCAUAGACUGGGACAGAAUAGCUAAUAUGAGAGACGUCAGAAUGCAGGUUUAAAAUGAUCUUUAAACUGGAACAUGAAAGCAAAACCAAAUCAAUAGAAUUUUAAAGGAAUAAAUGCAGAGUCCUACUUUUAGAUUCAAAACAAUCAAUUGCACAAACAGGAUGCAGAAAAGGCUUGCAACCUCUUAUAUGAAUAAUAUUUUUUAAAUGCCUAGGGGUUUUGAGCAACCACAAGCUUAAUAAGAACAUUUAAAAGCCUGUUGAGUGAGACAGUUUAUUUGCCCUGUUUUGUACCAGGGAGCUAUAAUAGAACCAAUAGACUAAAAAAUAAAAAAAUAAAAAAAUCAGCAAAGCAAAUCAAGACCCUGUGAAGGUGGCUUAUGAGAUUCUUGCACUGAGGAGACUAGCCCACAUGAUCCCUAGGGUCCCUUCCAAUACAAAGCUCUAACUAAUGUCUGCAUCUUGAUUCACACUCCAUCCCUCCUGCCAUGCAUGCCAAACACGCAGACCUACUAACAGUGGCUAAAUUUUAGGAGUUCACAAAGACCGAGCACUAGCAUCUUUUCUUCUCACUUUAAGGAUGUACCCUCCUUCUGGUGGAUAUCAUUCCCUCCUCUUUGUCCCCAAAGCAUUUUGUAUUUUCUCUACCUCUUAGUGCUUACCACACAGAAUGGUAAAGAUGUAUUCUCUUUCUGGCCAUCUACCACCAAGCUGAGAACUCCCCAAAAGGGAGCCUGGCUCCUGUGGGUACUUAUUUGUUUGAAGAAUAAAUGGUUGGAUAAAGAAAUAAAUGAAUGGAUGAACAUAAA